UACGAAGGGGGCUAGCGUUGUUCGGAAUUACUGGGCGUAAAGCGCACGUAGGCGGAUUGGUCAGUUAGGGGUGAAAUCCCAGGGCUCAACCCUGGAACUGCCUUUAAUACUGCCAAUCUAGAGUUCGAGAGAGGUGAGUGGAAUUCCGAGUGUAGAGGUGAAAUUCGUAGAUAUCGGGAGGAACACCAGUGGCGAAGGCGGCGACCUGGACGGAUACUGACGCUGAGGUGCGAAAGCGUGGGGAGCAAACAGG
rnacentral:rRNA from 1 species